CUUUGUUCCAAGAUUGAUUAAACGACUCGUGUGUUUCUGAUCGUCCUGAGAAUUGCUGUGAAGCUAGAUAACAUGCUAACGCUGUGUUCUGAACAUAGUUUGACAAGUUUAGUCGACAUAUAAUAUGUAAUUUCGACGUUUUGGUGCGCACCCACUUGACUUUUUGGCUGCAUUUCAACCGAAAUAUGUCGUGUUUGAUCACCGAAAGACACAGACUUCCAAACUAAAGCUGUUUUUGGUAUAAACCCUUCCAGGUCUUCUGAUGGAAGAACAGCAAAGCAUCAGUAGAACACGCCCUUACUCUCCUGGAAAGCGAUGGCUGGCAACAUCUGACUCCGUACUUCAGGCAGCUGACACAGAUCAAGCACUUUCUGCACUUCAGCUUCGAUGCUCUGGAGCCUGGUGUUGUUGUCACCAAGGAGCGUUCAGACUCAGUCGGGACCAGGUUUCAGCUGAUGCACAGCGCUGAUGUCCUUCCACCCAUAGACGGUCUGCCUGUACAAGCACCACCUGGUCACAACUAGACAAAUGUAUAUUUUUGAGAAGAUCAGGUAGUUUUGAGAUGAAGAAGCCAUGGACAUCACAUGCCCUGCACCAAAGUCAAGGACAGGACAGAUACUGGCUCUCAGAAUAUAGAUUUCCUUGUUCAUGCGUGGUGCGGACAGACCAGUUCAUCACUGGGGAUUUCAAGAGUGAAGAUCACAGAGUGUGCACAACAAGUUCGACUGAGGUUUGGACUGUUUGGUUCAUUAAAUAAUAUAAAUGAUUAUAAUAAUCAAACCUAUUUUAUGAUAUCUUAUCUUGUGAAAAAGUAUAUAUUUAGACAAUAUGGCUUUGUUUCAAUGUGCUAUUUAAAAAAUGUACAUAUUCUUGUAUAUUCUCUACGUCAUGUAUGUUCUGAAAUGCAGUAAAUGUAAAUAAAUUACUUGAAAUUCAACAUUGUAUCUUGAUCAUGUGUGUAGGAUAUUAUGGGAUGGUAGAAAAGGCAAUAAUAUUCAAGCAAAAUUGAAAUUAGGAUGACACUGAACAGAACCCAAGGAUUAGAUAAAAAAUUACCCAGCUGCUGGUUCAAUCCCCAAACCAAUGUACUGGGUUUAUGUCACAACCAACACACUGGAUUGUUGUAACACAGCAAUAGUCUAAUUUACCCAGCAGUUGGGUCAAGCGAUCAACACAAGACGCUGGGUUAGACGCACAACCCAAAUUCGCUGGGUUGAAUUAACCCAGUGCUUCGCUUGUCAAAUAUUGACCCAGGCACUGGGUUGUUGAAAUUAACCAAAUAUGGUAAUUUUUAACCAAGCAUUUUUUGGAGUAAGAAAAAUUCAUUUUGGAAAAAUAAUUUGAAUUGCCAUAUUAGGCAUAACACAAUGUCUACCUUUUAAAAUACCAAAAUAAAUAGCCAUUUCAGUAAUUGUUUUCAGUAUCCUAAUUUUGUUUUGUUUUCUGAUUGUUUAAUUGCAUGUAUUCAAGCUUUGGAUGAAGGACUUCCACAAGGCUGCCAUCUCCAAAGUUCAUUCAAAAAUGCAACAGUUCUGAACAGGGUUUGAUUUAGUAUUUGUUGUUUUAAUUAUUGACAUUUUGUUAAUUAUCUUUCAACUUCCAUUGGUUAAUAUUUUGCCCAGUUACCACUUGGUUCAUGUAAAUAGAUCAUGUAGUUGGUCCCUUUAAACAUCCUAAUGUCAACAUCCCCAUAGUGUUCACAUUUCUCUUGUUUAAACGUUGUAGCUACAUAAAAAUAUUAAACAAUUUAUUACGGAAAAA
ensembl:lncRNA